AUGGCCACAAUCAUAUCAUGGUCAUCUCAUGGCUGUGGUUGUGUCAUGGUCAUGAUAAUCUCAAGGUCACAGCCAUUUCCUGAUCACCAUCAUCUCAUGCUCAUGGCUAUGUCAUUGUCAUCCAAUGGUCACAGUCCUCUCAUGGUCAUGAGCAUAUCAUGGACAUGGUCACAGUCAUGGUCCUUACAUGGUCAUGGUCAUUCCAAGAUCAUCUCAUGGUCAACUCAUGGCCACAAUCAUCAUGGUCAUCUCAUGGUCAUGGUCAUCUCAUGGUCAUGCACAGCAAUGGGGAACAAGGACACAUGGACCUCCUUGCUUGUUUCAAAGAAGUUUGUUUAUUGUAACCAACUGAUCUUUUUUAUACUCAAAACUUGCCCCAAACUUAACCAAAAUAAGCACGCGUUGUCUGCCUGCCACUGCAGUGUUGCUAUGGAUGUGUCCCUUUACCCAAUCAGCUCUCUGAUCAUGUGGUGUCCACACAUCUCCUCAGCCAAUCCCUGCCUCACACAUGAGGCAACCACCAACCCACUCUCUGGCCAUCAACCCACAGCUGAACCUUCCCAGAGGGCCUUUUGGUGAACAGAAGUGAACAGGAUUGAACAAAGGUGGGAAAGGUCCUUAUUCUGUAAGGCUUGUUCCCCACAGUUAUGGUCAUCACCAUCACCUUAUGGUCACAAUCAUCUCAUGGUCAUCUCACAGUCACCUCAUGGUUACAAUUGUCUCACAGCCAUGGCUGUGUCAUGAUCAUUUCGUGGUCAUGAUCACCACAUAGCCAUGGUGUGAGACGAUUAUGGUCAUCUCAUGGUCACCUCUUGGUCAAGAUUGUGUCAUGUUCAUAGUGUUGGUCAUCUCAAAGCCUUCAUAAUUUCAUGGCCAUGGUGGUGUCAUAGUCAUCUCAUGGUCAUUCCAUUGUCAUAAUCAUCUUAUGGUCAUCUUAUGGUCAUGGCCAUCUCAUAGUGAUGGUCAUGGUCAUUUCCUGAUCACCAUCAUCUCAUGCUAAGGGUCAUCUCACUGUAAUGGUCAUCUCAUGGCCACGAUCAUGUCAGGGUCACCUCAAGGCCACAGUUAUCCCAUGGCCAACCCACGGUCAUCUCUUCAUCCAAAUCAUCUCAUGGUCAGGGUUGUGGUUGUGUCAUGGUCAUGGUCACAGUCAUGGUCAUCCCAUGGACAUGGUCAUCUCAGGGUUGUGUCACUCAUGGUCAUUCUCACGGCCAUCUCAUGCUCGUGUCAUGGCCGUGGUCAUGGCCAGGGAACCUCUCUGAGAUCCUGAUUUUGGGACACUCAAGGACCUCUGGGAACAACAAGGCCUGGCCUGACCCCUCCCCCCAUCCCACUGCCCAUCCAGGAGCCCAACGUGGCCAAACCCUUCUGGGGACACCUCAGACAUGGGACACGGAGCGGGAAAUUAAUCCCGGGAGAUGGAGCCGGGUGUGGCUGGCAAGUCCCCAUCCUGCUCCUGGUGUCCCAGUCCAGGUCCUGAUCUCCCCAUCCUGCUCCUGGUGUUCCCAUCCUAUUCCUGGUGUCCCCAUCCCUGCUCCAGUGACCCCAUUCCCAUUUCUGGCUCCCAGAGAUGAACUGU
ensembl:lncRNA